rnacentral:lncRNA from 1 species
CUUUUCUGCUUAAUUGCUCUGUGGUUGUUCCCACUAAGAGUUCUCCCUUCUCACUCCCUGACUCUGUGACCACCCUGGGCAGCUGAUAUGACAGAAGUGACUACAAGUAAAUUCAAGUCUUAUGAAACUCAACACUUCCCCCCUUGCUACUGUUUGGAAACCUUGUCAAGAGGAGGUCAGCCACCAUCAAAUGUAAUUUCAAAGCUAACCAAAAUUUAUCAUCUAUGUGUUAAAAGAUCCUGAUACCUACAGAGAUGGAAAAGAGAGGACAUCUGGUCCUGGUGACUCCCACGCAGCAAGGCAAACUGAUCCAGAAGGCUCAAUGCCCAAAUGGCUCAAGUAUUUUACUCUAUUUUUAAGAGAACAUCUAAAAUCAGUUUUCAACAUCAUAUAAAAUAAUGUAUGAAACCACAUUCU